rnacentral:rRNA from 1 species
GUGAGGAAUAUUGGUCAAUGGGCGAGAGCCUGAACCAGCCAAGUCGCGUGAAGGAUGAAGGUUUUAUGAAUUGUAAACUUCUUUUGCAGGGGAAUAAAGUACGGUACGUGUACCGUUUUGUAUGUACUCUGCGAAUAAGGAUCGGCUAACUCCGUGCCAGCAGCCGCGGUAAUACGGAGGAUCCAAGCGUUAUCCGGAUUUAUUGGGUUUAAAGGGUGCGCAGGCGGGUUGAUAAGUCAGCGGUGAAAGUUUGCAGCUUAACUGUAAAAUUGCCGUUGGAACUGUCGAUCUUGAGUGCAAAUGAGGUAAGCGGAAUGUGUUGUGUAGCGGUGAAAUGCUUAGAUAUAACACAGAACACCGAUUGCGAAGGCAGCUUACUGGGAUGCAACUGACGCUCAUGCACGAAAGCGUGGGGAUCAAACAGGAUUAGAAACCCGGGUAGUCC